rnacentral:rRNA from 1 species
UACAGAGGCCUCGAGCGUUAGGCGGAAUCACUGGGCUUAAAGCGUGUGUAGGCGGACUUCUAAGUGCCUUGUGAAAUCCCACGGCUCACCCGUGGAACUGCUGGGCAUACUGGGAGUCUUGAGCCACCUAGGGGCGAGCGGAACAAAUGGUGGAGCGGUGAAAUGCGUAGAUAUCAUUUGGAACGCCAAUGGUGAAAACAGGUAGCUGGGGAAGUGCUGACGCUGAGACACGAAAGCCAGGGGAGCGAACGGG